GCUCGUACAGACUACAUGACUUUAAAACGUUGGUCCGAACUGUGCGGUUCACACUACAUGACUUGCUUCUGUGAAAUCAGGAGUGUUCACGUUGUUGAGCAGUUCACACCACACGACAUAACGUGAAUGCCCCACAACAGGAGGUAAUGCACUACACGAGUUGAGAACAACUCUAUCACCCGACGAUUCUAUCUUGGCCGCAAACCACGUUUUGUCACGAAAAAUCCCGCGAUAAAACAAACCGGAAAUGACGCGAAACAACACGCGCACCAGUAAACCCACAGAAGAAGAAACAAGAAGACGCGCAAAACUUUUGUUUGUAUAUAUAGACUUCAGACAGAAAUUAGUGCUGCAAACCGUUUGCGCGAUGCAAAGCCGCAAAAGAAAAAAAAUGAAGAGAUGUGUAUGUGGAGAGGUGGAUUAGCACCACACGCGGACAGCAGGGAUUUAAGAGUUGGAGAAUAGGACAUUCUUCGCAAAGCAUGACUUGGAGAGCGUUUGUCUUUGACCCUGCGAUUCUAUGCAACAGGUUUGUGUGAUUUCAUUUCAAACGAAUAUGAACUGAAUGUUGUCAUUACGUUUUUUCUGUCUGGGUAUGUUUUUGAACUUUUUCCAAGUCCCUCAGGUUCAAGUCCAGGAUGGGGGACCAGCACCAUCCCACAAAUAGUUUUGGAUACCUGUUCUGUACCAGGUUAUAAAGGACGAUUUCUUGAAGACACCAUCAACGGAAGGAGAGUGGCAUACAAUAGCCAUGGACUGUGAAAGGAAGUGGCAGUUUCCACAUUUCUUUGGGGUACUUGCUACCACUCCAGCUGUAGUAGACUGCUGACCACAACAUGGUUGAUGGGCAAUGGAAGAAUCGUGGGAUGGGUGCUUUUCAACCGAUGAACACCACCUCACAUCGCAAUUGCAUGGCAACAGCAAAAGUGCAACGCACUCUGAUGUGGGACUACUUUGUCUCACCAGCGGGUAGUGUUUAUUGGAAAGUUCAACACAUUUUAAAAGGAACUGAUGUAGAGUUAUCCCUGCAAACAGUAGAUUAAAGCCAUGUGAUGAUAAGCUCUGGGCAUUUUUACUCAAUGUGGAUUAAUCUAACAGCCAAUCACACACAAUUAUAUUACAAUAUUUAUAUAUCACCCAGCCCUUAAAGGGGCUCUACAUAGGGAUUUUUGUAAUGUUUAAUUGUGUUAAUGUGGUGCACUGCACAUGUUCUAACAAUGUAUAUUUUGUCUGUCCACAUAAUAUACAUUCAAAUGUACUACAUUGUAUUCAAGUUGCACAAACAACAAUGCAAG